rnacentral:rRNA from 1 species
AAACAGGAUUAGAGACCCUGGUAGUCCACGCCGUCAACGAUGAGAACUAGCUGUUGGAAAGUUUACUUUCUAGUAGCAAAGCUAACGCGUUAAGUUCUCCGCCUGGGGAGUACGGCCGCAAGGUCAAAACUCAAAGAAAUUGACGGGGGCCCGCACAAGCGGUGGAGCAUGUGGUUUAAUUCGAUGCAACGCGAAAAACCUUACCUACCCUUGACAUCCUCGGAACUUGUCAGAAAUGACUUGGUGCCUUUGGGAACCGAGUGACAGGUGCUGCAUGGCUGUCGUCAGCUCGUGUCGUGAGAUGUUGGGUUAAGUCCCGUAACGAGCGCAACCCUCGUCCUUAGUUGCCAGCGGUUCGGCCGGGAACUCUAAGGAGACUGCCGGUGAUAAACCGGAGGAAGGUGAGGAUGAUGUCAAGUCAUCAUGGCCCUUACGGGUAGGGCUACACACGUGCUACAAUGGGCAGUACAAAGGGUUGCCAAACCGUGAGGUAAAGCUAAUCCCAAAAAGCUGCUCGUAGUCCGGAUUGGAGUCUGCAACUCGACUCCAUGAAGUUGGAAUCGCUAGUAAUCGCGAAUCAGAAUGUCGCGGUGAAUACGUUCUCGGGCCUUGUACACACCG